AUUGAACGCUGGCGGCAGGCCUAACACAUGCAAGUCGAGCGGACGAAGGGAGCUUGCUCCUGUAUUCAGCGGCGGACGGGUGAGUAAUGCCUAGGAAUCUGCCUGGUAGUGGGGGAUAACGUCCGGACACGGGCGCUAAUCCCGCAUACGUCCUGAGGGAGAAAGGGAGGGAUCUUCGGACCUCACGCUAUCAGAUGAGCCUAGGUCGUAUUAGCUAGUUGGUGGGGUAAAGGCCUACCAAGGCGACGAUCCGUAACUGGUCUGAGAGGAUGAUCAGUCACACUGGAACUGAGACACGGUCCAGACUCCUACGGGAGGCAGCAGUGGGGAAUAUUGGACAAUGGGCGAAAGCCUGAUCCAGCCAUGCCGCGUGUGUGAAGAAGGUCUUCGGAUUGUAAAGCACUUUAAGUUGGGAGGAAGGGCAGUAAGUUAAUACCUUGCUGUUUUGACGUUACCAACAGAAUAAGCACCGGCUAACUUCGUG
rnacentral:rRNA from 1 species